CGUAGGGUGCGAGCGUUAAUCGGAAUUACUGGGCGUAAAGCGUGCGCAGGCGGUUUUGUAAGACAGGCGUGAAAUCCCCGGGCUCAACCUGGGAACUGCGCCUGUGACUGCAAGGCUAGAGUACGGCAGAGGGGGGUGGAAUUCCACGUGUAGCAGUGAAAUGCGUAGAGAUGUGGAGGAACACCAAUGGCGAAGGCAGCCCCCUGGGUCGAUACUGACGCUCAUGCACGAAAGCGUGGGUAGCAAACAGGAUUAGAUACCCUGGUAGUCCACGCCCUAAACGAUGUCAACUAGGUGUUGGGUGGGUAAAACCAUUUAGUACCGGAGCUAACGCGUGAAGUUGACCGCCUGGGGAGUACGGCCGCAAGGUUA
rnacentral:rRNA from 1 species